GACGAACGCUGGCGGCGUGCUUAACACAUGCAAGUCGAACGCGGAAGCUCAGCUUUUGUUGGGUGGAUGAGUGGCGAACGGGUGAGUAACACGUGAGUAACCUGCCCCCUUCUUUGGGAUAACUCCAGGAAACGGGUGCUAAUACUGGAUAUUCAAUGGUCUUUGCGUGGGGGUGGGUGGAAAGGGCUGUUUUGGUGGGGGAUGGGCUCGGGGCCGAUCAGCUUGUUGGUGGGGUUAUGGCCUUGCUAGGCUUGGACGGGUGGGCGGCGUGAGAGGGUGACCGGGCAAAUAGGGACAGCGAUCAGGCCCAGACUCAGACGGGGGGCAGACGCGGAGGAUAGUGCACAAUGGGCGAUAGUGUAAUGCAGCGACGCCGCGGAAGGGACGACGGCGCGUGAGUGGUGAACCUCUUUCGCACAUGGUCUAGUAUCAACAAUGAUGGUAGUGAGGGUACUGGAUAAAGAAGCGCCGGCUAACUACGUG
rnacentral:rRNA from 1 species